rnacentral:misc_RNA from 1 species
GCCGUUAGACGGUCUUAUCGAAAUCUAUAUAAAAAUUAUAUGGUGAGGACCGUUUGCCAGCAUUAGUUGGCUAAUUUUUGACAGUAGCUUGCAUGCAAGUGACUAU